rnacentral:rRNA from 1 species
GUGGCUCGACUCACUCCAACCCAAUGUGAACGUUACCAAACUGUUGCCUCGGCGGGGUCACGCCCCGGGUGCGUCGCAGCCCCGGAACCAGGCGCCCGCCGGAGGAACCAACCAAACUCUUUCUGUAGUCCCCUCGCGGACGUAUUUCUUACAGCUCUGAGCAAAAAUUCAAAAUGAAUCAAAACUUUCAACAACGGAUCUCUUGGUUCUGGCAUCGAUGAAGAACGCAGCGAAAUGCGAUAAGUAAUGUGAAUUGCAGAAUUCAGUGAAUCAUCGAAUCUUUGAACGCACAUUGCGCCCGCCAGUAUUCUGGCGGGCAUGCCUGUCCGAGCGUCAUUUCAACCCUCGAACCCCUCCGGGGGAUCGGCGUUGGGGAUCGGGACCCCUCACACGGGUGCCGGCCCCGAAAUACAGUGGCGGUCUCGCCGCAGCCUCUCCUGCGCAGUAGUUUGCACAACUCGCACCGGGAGCGCGGCGCGUCCACGUCCGUAAAACACCCAACUUUCUGAAAUGUUGACCUCGGAUCAGGUAGGAAUACCCGCUGAACUUAAGCAUAUCAUAGGCCCGAAGAAAAACUUAGCGAGGGUUACGAGUCCGAGCGCGAGGGGGAGGUUGGGGGACUGUUGCGGGAGGGGGGUCAGGCGCGGGGUGGGUUCUGCGCGACGGGUGCGCCCGAGGAACCACGAAGGGUUCUUAGUCCUGGGAAGUAGUGGUUGGCGCUUGAGGAGGAAGCAGAAGUGAAAGCAGAACGUUCGCAAGGGAGGUGUGGGGUCUGGCGUCGGAUGGAGGAACGCGCGGAGUGCGAGAGGGUGGGAAUUGCGGAGAUUGGUGAAAUCGUGUGAACUUUGAAGCAGUGUGGCGGCCGUUAUUGUGGGAGUGAGGGCGAUCCAGGGUCAUAUCGCCCUGGAACCCCGCGGGAGAGAUGCGUUUGGGAUGUGGGGCACCCCCAGCAUGGUGCGCGCGCCCAGGAAGAUUACAGAGGCCGAAGUGUA